rnacentral:lncRNA from 1 species
GGAGGACCUGAAUUAUGAGUCAGUGAGGGGGGUUGUUGUGGUGGGGAUGUGGACUGCACAGGGAUUAAUGGUGGGGCAGAAUCAAACAACUCCCAGUUUGUGGUAACUACAACUUCUGAGGUCGAAUUCCUUGAGGUUUGGUGUUGUUGUUGUUCUUGGUAAAGUGCUAGAGAUUUCUCAUUUGAGUUCCUAGGUUGUUCUUGUUGCUGCUCUUGAAUUGGUGCUAAGGCUAACCUAUUAUGUCCAUUUG